GUAUGAUAGCAGUUUUUGUGUACAUAACUUUUAAAAGGACCACGUGUUCGAUUGUUAGUUUUGUUUUUGUUAAAGAUACCCUGCGGGCACAAACAUGUGCGUAUAUAUAUAUGUAUAUGUAUAUAUGUUAAUAUGUACAUGUAUGUAUAUGCACGUAGCAUUAUACACUUUUUAACAUUUAUAACUUUUUAGUAAUUUCUCUUUUAAUUUACACCUUUUUAUUUAUCUACCUAUUUAUUUAUCCACCUACCUAUUUGUCUACCUAUCUAUUCACCCCCUAUUCCUUUCUACCUAUCUCUUUUCCUUUUUGCCUUAUUGACAAUAUUCUUUUAAUUAUGAAUUUGUUCUACAUCCUUUGUUUUAUAUUUCAUUUGUUUUUUUUUUUUCAAAAAAAUGUAGCAAAAAAAGUAGAAAACUGUGGAAUAUUUUUUAAGGGCUUAAACUUUUUCGCCGCUUCUAAUUUUCAAAAUAAAGUUAUUAAAAAUGAAAAGGUUUUUAUAAAAAAUUGUAAAAAAAAAAAUGGCAUAAAAAGUAUACAUACAUAUUGUUCUAUCAUUAACAACGUCAAAAAAAACGUAACUUCUUUUUUUAAACGAAAGAAAGACAUAAUUGAAAAUAUAAAAAACUUAUAUAAUAAAGAAAGUUUAUGGUUUGUAACAGGGUAUUGUCAAAAUUUAUUUCAUAAAAAUUCUUUUUUUAAUGUUGUUGGGUUAGAAGUAGUAAAAGAAGUAAACCCUAAAAAGUUUAUAUUCACAAGCCAAAAAAAAAAUAAUUCUGAUAACACAUUAGAAAAAAAUAAUAACUAUGAAUUACGCAAUAUCUAUAAAGUAAAAAGGUAUGUUAUUUUUUACAAGAACAGUGAAUCUAGCUCUGAUGAAAAGGAUGAAACUAGCUCCGAUAAAAAAGGCGAAACUAUUUCCGAUAAAAAAGGCGAAACUAUUUCCGAUAAAAAGGGCGAAACUAUUUCUUAUAAAAAAGGCGAAAUUAAUUCCGAUAAGAAAGGCAUUCCUAAUACCAUUAUGAACUACAAAAACAACGAUGGAAUGAAAAAAAAUUUUAUAAUGUGCCAAUAUGUUUACUUUAUUUUACACAUACAUGAUAAAAAAAAUGAUAAAUUUUACAUUUUAUCUAAUAGCAUAAAUGAUAAUAAUACUCAUGGUCUAUAUGAAAUAAAUGAAUUAAAGAAAGAUCAAUUACCAAAUAUGUUAAAUGAUAAUAUAUUAAAUAAAAAGAAAUUAAACGAGUUAACUAUGAUAUCUUUAAUAAAUAAAAAUGAAAAAUUGAAUGAUAUAUCUAGUAAUAAUAUAUAUAUAAAUAAUUUUAUAAAUGCUCCUGGUUAUGGUAAUAUUAUUAAUAAUAAUAACACAUUAUUCAAUAGCUAUGUUAAAAAAGUAUUUAAUUUUUGUAAUAAUUCAGGUAUAUUAUUUGAUCAUAAUACAUCGUACGGUAAACAAUCCAACCCAUAUAUUUUUUUAAUUUAUGGAGAUGACAACUUUAUAUUUAAAGAUAAAAGUUAUUCUCAGCAUCUUAUCAACUUUUUUAUGAAAAGCGAAGAAGAAGAAAAAGGAGGGGGAGUGCACACCUUUUGUGAAAAUCUUUUUAAAAAUAACAAGGGGUAUAAAUUAUGUAUAAGAAGUGAUUUACAAGAUAAACCUUCUUAUUUAAUAAAAUACACCAAGUUAAAAAAAAAAAAAUUUGAAAAGUUAUAUAAAUAUAUUACUAAUACUUAUUAUAAAAAUGAUCGUAAUUAUAUUUACAAUGAUAUUAACAGCAAUUCUUUUUUUUCAUAUACAAAAAUAUUAUUCGAAAAAUGUAAAAAUGACUAUGAACUUGAAAAAAAAAAAAAAUUUACAGAUGAUGACAAUACGG
ensembl:lncRNA